AGUAAAACUGGUGAAAUCUGAAUAAAGUCUGUAGUUGAGAUUCAUUUGUACUGAUACUAAUUGUGUACUCUGUGCUCUGUGCUAAGUCGCUUCAGUCGCGUCUGACUCUCUGUGGCGGCAUGGACUGCAGCUCUGCCCGGCUCCUCUGUCAUGGGAUUCUCCAGGCAAGAACACUGGAGUAGGUUGCCAUGCCCUCCUCCAGGGGAUCUUCCCAACUCAGGGAUGGAACCUACGUCUCUGAACAUCUCCAGCUUUGGCAGGCACUUCCUGUUCAGGAAUCGAGAGUGCCUCCCUGCAGUCUGUAGGGAGAAGGCACACACCUUGGUCUGCAUUCUAGGGGACCGCUGCACGUGGCUGCAGCAGCUCAGGCUCAGUUGUUCGUCACUCUCCGCGUACCUGGCCCUCUGCGCCUGCCAAGCCUGCCCAUGACUCCCAGCCAUUCCUGUUUGCUGUGAGCCCUGGACAGACAGUCCCCGCUCUGCUCACUGGACAUUUACUCUCUGUCCCCUUUAAUGUGAGUUACAUUUUCAAGCGUCAUAGGUCAUCCUGCACAAUAAAUUAUUAUGGGGAUUUGA